rnacentral:rRNA from 1 species
UAGGGAAUCUUCCACAAUGGACGCAAGUCUGAUGGAGCAACGCCGCGUGAGUGAAGAAGGUUCUCGGAUCGUAAAGCUCUGUUGUUGGUGAAGAAGGAUAGAGGUAGUAACUGGCCUUUAUUUGACGGUAAUCAACCAGAAAGUCACGGCUAACUACGUGCCAGCAGCCGCGGUAAUACGUAGGUGGCAAGCGUUGUCCGGAUUUAUUGGGCGUAAAGCGAGCGCAGGCGGAAGAAUAAGUCUGAUGUGAAAGCCCUCGGCUUAACCGAGGAACUGCAUCGGAAACUGUUUUUCUUGAGUGCAGAAGAGGAGAGUGGAAUUCCAUGUGUAGCGGUGGAAUGCGUAGAUAUAUGGAAGAACACCAGUGGCGAAGGCGACUCUCUGGUCUGCAACUGACGCUGAGGCUCGAAAGCAUGGGUAGCGAACAGG